AUGGAGUCGAAGAGGGUGAACAUUGUUGAUUGUCUAACUGAUGAUCUAGUGGUGGAAAUCCUCUCUCGAGUGCCACCCAAGUCAUUUUGCCGCUUCAAAUGUGUGUGCAAGGCUUGGCUUGCCUUCUCCUCUGAUCCUCACUACCGUCGGAAGCUGCCAAAAACUUCCACUGGUCUUCUCUACAAACCUCAAUACGGGUCUGCUAUCCAGCUUGUUGGCAUGUCCCCAAAUGAUGAGGAAAUUGAUGGAGCUUUUACAUUCAUCCCUCAGUACGAGCAAUUAGAACUUGUGGACUAUUGCAAUGGCCUGGUACUUUGCCGGUACAAGAGCAGAUAUACUUCUGCAGAUACUUGCCGCUUCAUUGUUUGCAACCCAGCAACACGAGAGUGGAGGACGCUUCCUAUUCUUAAUACUCCAUAUGGCCCAAAUGUCUCCCGCUAUACAGCUUUUUUGGCCUUCGAUCCAUCAUGA
rnacentral:rRNA from 1 species